rnacentral:rRNA from 1 species
GAUAGCCUUUCGAAAGGAAGAUUAAUACCCCAUAAUAUAUUGAUUGGCAUCAAUUGAUAUUGAAAACUGAGGUGGAUAAAGAUGGGCACGCGCAAGAUUAGAUAGUUGGUGAGGUAACGGCUCACCAAGUCGAUGAUCUUUAGGGGGCCUGAGAGGGUGAUCCCCCACACUGGUACUGAGACACGGACCAGACUCCUACGGGAGGCAGCAGUGAGGAAUAUUGGACAAUGGGUUAGCGCCUGAUCCAGCCAUCCCGCGUGAAGGACGACGGCCCUAUGGGUUGUAAACUUCUUUUGUACAGGGAUAAACCUAUCUACGUGUAGAUAGCUGAAGGUACUGUACGAAUAAGCACCGGCUAACUCCGUGCCAGCAGCCGCGGUAAUACGGAGGGUGCAAGCGUUAUCCGGAUUUAUUGGGUUUAAAGGGUCCGUAGGCGGAUGUGUAAGUCAGUGGUGAAAUCUCACAGCUUAACUGUGAAACUGCCAUUGAUACUGCAUGUCUUGAGUAAGGUAAAAUGGCUGGAAUAAGUAGUGUAGCGGUGAAAUGCAUA